AACAGAGUAUGGAUUAUCUGUAAAUACCUCAGUCUUUGUAUUGUCAAUUUACAAUGUAAAAACAUAAAAGCAUGAUUAUUUGCAAUAAGCAAUCAAGAAAGUCACAUUCAAACAAGCUACAGUUAUUCUUUGAAAAGUAACAAAAAGAGCAGACAUCAUCAAUGAAAUACAGGUGCUUUACACAUGCUUUAGAAGUACAUCUUCAUUAAUACUAGAAAUCUGGAACUGCAAGAGUCCAUAGAAAUGCUAGAUUUAUAUAAAAUGCCCAUGCUCUUGUUAUCUGCUACCUCUACCACUUGGUACAUUAGAUAGGAACAACACUAUAUCCACUUAUGAGCCUGAGAAUUUGCAUUCAGAUGAAAACAAUAUCCAGCUUCAAAUAGACAUAUAUUUCUUUUUUUGGUGGGAUGUGGGGCGAAAGAAAAAUCAAGUUCCAUAAAAAAAAAGCUAAGAACAAUUAGAGGGCUUCCUCUCUGACGCAUGAUUUCCUUUCUCAACUUUCUUUCCGAGAAAUAAGAGCAGAAGAACAGAACAGCUGUCAAAGAAAACCGG
rnacentral:misc_RNA from 1 species